rnacentral:rRNA from 1 species
CCUACGGGAGGCUGCAGUGGGGAAUAUUGGACAAUGGGGGCAACCCUGAUCCAGCCAUGCCGCGUGUGUGAAGAAGGCCCUCGGGUUGUAAAGCACUUUCAGUGAGGAAGAACGCCUGGUGGUUAAUACCCAUCAGGAAAGACAUCACUCACAGAAGAAGCACCGGCUAACUCCGUGCCAGCAGCCGCGGUAAUACGGAGGGUGCGAGCGUUAAUCGGAAUUACUGGGCGUAAAGCGCGCGUAGGUGGCUUGAUAAGCCGGUUGUGAAAGCCCCGGGCUCAACCUGGGAACGGCAUCCGGAACUGUCAAGCUAGAGUGCAGGAGAGGAAGGUAGAAUUCCCGGUGUAGCGGUGCAAUGCGUAGAGAUCGGGAGGAAUACCAGUGGCGAAGGCGGCCUUCUGGACUGACACUGACACUGAGGUGCGAAAGCGUGGGUAGCAAACAGGAUUAGAUACCCCAGUAGUC